rnacentral:miRNA from 1 species
AACCUCAUUGACCAGAAGUGAUUCCUUCCAGUCAAUGAGGAAGCUAUGCUUCAUUGACUGUAAGGAAUCACUUCCAGUCAAUGAGGAGGAUAAACCUCAUUGACUGGAUGGAAUCCCUUCUGGUCAAUGAGGUU